rnacentral:lncRNA from 1 species
GUUGGACUUUCCAUUUGGAAAAAAAUGAAUUGAGCAUUUUUGCAAAAUUGAACAUUUUGGUGAACACCCACCUACUCAAGCCUCAGCAUUUUUGUAAGAUGGCCAUUGUCUUCAUAUUCUCUGUUCUACCACCUGGAGGCCUUUGCAACCUUCUGUUCUUCAAAGCUGUUCUUUUGAUGCCACCCCCACCUCUUUCCCCUUCUGCUAGCCUCAAUACCUCUUUCCCCUUCUGCUAGCCUCAAUGUUUGCACAUACACAUACACAUAC